GAUCCUGGCUCAGGAUAAACGCUGGCGGCGUGCUUAACACAUGCAAGUCGAACGAAGUUUUUCUUUCGGGAGAAACUUAGUGGCGGACGGGUGAGUAACGCGUGGGUAACCUGCCCUGUACAGGGGGACAGCAGCUGGAAACGGCUGCUAAUACCGCAUAAGCCCUUAGCACUGCAUGGUGCAUAGGGAAAAGGAGUAAUCCGGUACAGGAUGGACCCGCGUCUGAUUAGCCAGUUGGCAGGGUAACGGCCU
rnacentral:rRNA from 1 species